rnacentral:lncRNA from 1 species
GAAGGAUCCCUAUUGUGUGCAGAUUUUGCAUGAAGAACCAGGAAAACAUCUCUAUGCAUCUCAGCAGAGUGUGCAUGAAGUUAGAAUCAAAACAAAAGAUUGAUGAGGAAGUUCGUAUUUCCCGCGACUCGAUGAUAGAGCAUCUUUUGAAAGGCAGGAUCAUUGACUACAGAUUACUCAGCUGUAUUGUUACACAACAGGACGGACUCCGACUUCUGAUCAAGAAUCUUGAACAAACUGGUCAUUUUGUUACAAACAAGCCAGAAGACAAACAAACAACUGGCCAAGUGGAAGAGGCUCAAGUGUUGGCACCAACUACAGAUGAAAAUUUAGACGAAGAAUCAGACGUAAACAUGGAAGAUGACCAGUCGGCGUUGUACCAACCGUUGCAAAUGUGUCAAGGUUUUUGUUUUACAUGGACUCAACCAAACCAUCACUGGAUUUUGUCAAUAACUUGGAAAAAAGCAGAUCAUUUUUUCCCAAGCUUGCAAACAUUGGACAGAAGAAGCAAACCAUUGCAAACUACAUGAAGAAUUUAAAGAGAUUUAUUCGCUACAACAUCACCUCAACAAGCCUAUUUAAAAAAGCCCUGUCCAGAAUGUCACUAUUUUGGCAUGACUUGAGAAUUCGUUUAUGGGUCACGAAUUUGAAACAUAUUUUUCAGCACUUUUUCGUGAAAAUGGACAAAAAUCUUUUUUUAGGCCUUCUCCGGAAUUUCGCUACUUCGGCAUGAACGUUGUCACGGUUUGUGUGUCACGAAUUUGCAACAUAUUUUUUAGCAGUUUUUCUUGAAAAUUGUCAAAAAUCUUUUUUUAGGCACUGUCCGGAAUGUCGCGAGUUCGGCAUGACCGGAGACACCGUUUAUUGGUCACGAAUUUGAAACAUAUUUACCAUUACUUACAUUACUUACUUAUUUCUCAGCAAUUCUUCGUGAAAAUUGCCGAAAACCAUAUUUUAGGUCCUAUGCGGAAUGUUGCUAGUUCGGCAUGAUCGGAAACAUCGUUUAUGGGUCAAGAAUUUUAAACAUAUUUACCAUUACUUUUUCGUAAAAAUGGCCUAAAAUAAAAAAAAAUUACGUUGUAUACGGAAUAUUGCUUGUUCGGCAUGAUCAGAGUCACCGUUUCUGGGUCAAGAAUUUGAAACAUGUUUCUCAGCACCUUUUUGUGAAAAUGGCCGAAAAUCUUUUUAAAAAGCCUUGCCUGGAAUGUCGCUAGUUCGGCAUGACCGGAGAAUUCGUUUAUGGGUCACGAAUUUGAAACAUAUUUUUCAGCACUUUUUCGUGAAAAUGGACAAAAAUAAAAAAAAUUAGGCCUUGUCCGGAAUGUCGCUAGUUCGGCAUGACCGGAGACAUCAUUUCUGGGUCAAGAAUUUGAAACAUAUUUACCAUAACUUUUUCGUAAAAAUUGCCAAAAAUCUUUUUUUAGGUUGUAUACGGAAUGUUGCUAGUGCGGCAUUAUUGGAAACAUCGUUUAUGGGUCACGAAUUUGAAACAUAUUUUUCAUCACUUAUUCAUGAAAAUGGCCGAAAAUCUUUUUUUAGGCCCCGUCCGGAAUGUUACAAGUUCGGCAUGAACGUAGUCACGGUUUCUGUGUCACGUAAUUUGCAACAUAUUUUUUCAAUUCUUCUUGAAAAUGACCGAAAAUCUUUUUUUAUGCCCUGUCUGGAAUGUCACUAGUUCGGCGUGACCAGAGACACCGUUUAUUGGUCACGAAUUUGAAACAUAUUUUUAGCACUUUUUCGUGAAAAUGUCCGAAAAACUUUUUUUAGGCCCUGUCCGGAAUGUCGCUAGUUCGGCAUGAUCGGAGUCACCGUUUCUGGGUCAAGAAUUUGAAACAUAUUUACCAUUACUUUUUUGUGAAAAUGGCCGAAAAUGUAUUUAAAAAGCCCUGUCCGGAAUGUCGCUAGUUCGGCAUGACCGGAGACAUCGUUUAUGGGUCACGAAUUUGAAACAUAUUUUCCAGCACUUUUUCAUGAAAAUGUCCGAAGAUCUUUUUUUAGGCCCUGUCCGGAAUGUUGCUAGUUCGGCAUGAACGUAGUCACGGUUUCUGUGUCACGAAUUUGAAACUUAUUUUUCAGCAAUUCUUCUUGAAAAUUGCCGAAAACCUUUUUUAGGUCCUAUCCGGAAUGUUGCUAGUUCGGCAUGAUCGGAGACACCGUUUCUGGGUCAAGAAUUUGAAACAUGUUAUUCAACACUUUUUCGUGAAAAUGGCAGAAUAUCUUUUUUUAUGAGGCUACAUAACAUAUUACACAUCUUUGCAGCGGAGGAGAAGAAGCUGAGGCAAGCUGCCUUCAAGAACCUCCAGUCGGCCUUCACAUUACUUCUUCUUCAGCCACCCUACUGCUACACCUCCAUCUGUCUGUCCAUUUAUAAGACGUUCAUCCACCUUCUCCAAACGUACAUUGUCGAAGUUGCUCCAAACGUCAAAUUUCAAAGUGUUUUUGUUGCUCCUGCUGCUCUGUAUUUUUUUUCUCUCCAAACAUCAAAUUUCAAAGGUUAAGUUUAGUCGUUCAUUCCAAAUGGUUAAGGUAAUGAUUGAGGUUUGAGACAGGGUUAAAAAAAAACCUCAUAAAAACACACAACCUUCUGAUUCAGUCAUGGGAUUAUGCCCAUCCACAACGCUUUAGCAAAACCCAAGCCUACUUGAUUGUAAUGGCGCUCACUGUUUCCACUAGUGGACAGUUUUGAAGGCAUUUGCUGACGUCCUCAGGACAUGGAUAGACUUCCAAUUUGGGCAUAAAUCUUGAACGACUUGGCUGCUGUGGUACAAUGGAUUGGAUACAUGCUGGAGAAACGUGCAGUGUCAGAGAAUAGACCUGUGAUGCAAUGUAUCUCCUGUAGAUAAGAAUUCUUAUGUCAUGACUUUACGGUUAUGUGCCACUGCUGCUGAUUUUAGCUCUGUUUUCUGUCGUGACUAAGGGAUUGUGAAUGAAAAUAGGAAUGCAUUUUUAGUAAUAUGAUGUUGUGAACAACUAGGAUUGCAUUUUAACUGAACGUUAUUAACUUAUUUACUUACCGGUGAAUCUGAAUUGUGAACUUGUGUUCAAAAGAGGUCUUAUACAAUCCAUUGUGUUACUUGGGACCUGUGAUGAUUGCGCACUAUACAUUGUCAUUUCCUGUAGGAAGCGCUUUCUGAAAGACACAAGUUUCACUGUAUCCUGGAUGCUUGGAGAGAUAAAAAAAACAGCUAGCCAGAGUUGCAUUCCGUAUGCUGUGAGAGAAAAUACAUUUGUGCACAGUUCUUUCCAGACACUCAAUCUCAUUCUAACGUAGAAGAAUAGUUAAGUGUUCAAUGCCUAAAAUAGCUCGAUAUUUUUUAUGUUUGUCGGGGUAGAUGUUAAGAAAGUUUUGGUUUUGGGGGAGGGAUGUCUUUGCAUGUGGUCAUUUUGAGCAGUGUGUUUUGCAUGGGCACUUAAGUUCAAGUUCUGACAAUCUUAUUAACCCCCUAAAAUGGCUCCUUGGCUUAAGCCUCAACGGCCCCCUGGUAUCAACCAGUCCAACUACUGACUGACCAUGUGCUAAUUUUAAUCCUCCCUACCAGAUUCAAUUGGACUUCUAGAGUGAUUGAAUAAUGUCUGCUAGUUUGGCUCUGUCUUUCAUGAAGCAAGUAUAGUAAAUUACUAUCUAUCAUUGUUUUUGAACAUAGUUGGAGAGCUGCGCAAUUUGCACUAAUUUGUCCUUUUCAAAGAGUUGAUUCAAACAGAGCUUUGAUAUGCUUCAAUUUAACCUUGUUUAAUGCAAAUACGGAUGUAACUUUAUUAAAUGUAAAGACUAAAUCCCGGUAAUUUAUUAAUACAUUUAUUGACAGGGUUAGAAAGUAGACUAUUUUGUAAUACCAUUCAUGUGAGCCGCUAUCCAGAAAAUGUUACUCAUUUUAACUUAACCUAUCUACAUUUAAAAGGAGCUGAAUGGGACUAUAACAAAAUGAGGGAAAUUGUUGUUUUGAAUGUUUUCAUUAUAUUUUGCGAGCUUCCAAUGUAGUGUUAAUAAACGGGUAUCAACGGUACAACUGAGAGGUUGUGUAUAAAGAUAUAAUAUUGUUUCAUGAUAAUAUAACUUUUAGUUUUGUAUGGUGAGAGAUUCUGUGAAAUGUUCUGCAUGUGGGUGUUGCCCACAAGUGGGUCUCCAGGUAAAAAUUGUAUAAAAGUAUCCACUGGUUACUCCACUUCCUGGUGAUGGGUGGUUGGCCAGUUGUAAUUCUGACUGAUAAAAAAAGGGUUUCUUUUGCAAUGCAGAGACUAGUUUGUUAACAGUGAUUCUGUGUCAAAUGUCUUCAGAUGCUGUCAAUAGUGGAAACCUGUAGGUUUCUUCCACUGUCCAGUGUUCUAUUCUGUCCUGUGAAAUCUAGACUACAGAUGUGAUUCCAUGAUGCAUUCUCAAACUAUGUCACUCCUCUCCUCUUUUGAUGUACCUUUACCCUGUUCUGACUGAGGGAAAGAACGGGGUGCAAUAAGCCUGGUCCCAGAUCAGUAUUAGUUGUAUUACCAUCACAGUCGGAGUUGGCUAAUACAGUGUUUCCCAACCCUGAUCCUCAGUACCCCCAACAGUACACCAUUUUAUUGUAACCCUGGACAAGCACACCUGAUUGAACUUGUCAACUAAUCAAAUCAAACUUUAUUUGCCACAUGUGCUGAAUACAACAAGUGUAGACUUUACCGUAAAAUGCUUACUUACAAGCCCUUAACCAACAGUGCAGUUCAAGAAGAAGAACAUAUCAUCAAGCCCUCAAUGAGUUGAAUGAGGUGUGUUUGUCAAGGGAUACAACGAAACUGUACUGUUGGGGUACUCGAGAACCAGUGUUGGGAAACAGUGGGCUAAUACACUUCAAACAGAUUUGGGACCAGUCCAGGGUGCAUUGUGAGAGAACAGAGAGGGUGUUGAGUGCACACAAACCAAUGACUGUAUGUGAAGGGACAAAGCCAUCCAUCACGUGACACCAUUCAUUCCUAUGUGAAGACUCAAUAGUGCAUUGAAGCCAAAUGAAGUCAGUUAAGAUGGCGUUUCAUGGAGACAUAAAAUGCGCAGUUUGAGCUACUCCAGGAAGUGACAUUGCAGGCUAGCUCAGGGCUGCCCCCCUCAUUGAGUAACUCCAGUUGAAGGCCAACCAGGGUACUGCAGGCUACCAUUAGAAACUUACUAUAACGGGGAUCUUGUUUUCUGUAAACAAUGCCUGCAGUACUGUAGUCGGCCUUGAACCUCUGUGGCUUCAAUGAGAGGGAAUAGUCGUUCUCCCCUGGCACAAAGCACACAGUGGCGACCACGCUUGUUUCUGUCAUUCCUCUAUAUUUUUAUUUUCUCCCAUGCCUUGAUUUCUUCUAUGUUGUGUUGUUUGUCAUUCCCAUGGGUCCAGGGAAAUUGUGCCAAAUAUUUUUGUCUACUUACCAUUCCACUACUCUCAUUCCACUGUCAAGUCAGAGGGAUUUUAAAGUUGUCUUCAUAACAUUCGAGGAAAUCAUUCCAUUGACCGUGAAAUAGGAGAUUUAGAUUUAACAUGGUGAACUGGUGUGAUGUUCGGGGUACUGUAUAGUAAAGUUACAAUGUACCUUACUUUAGGUCCCUUCUUUUGGUCUGUAGUUGUAACACUGCACUUUGAAAGAUUGUCAAAUGUAGUUUUUGCUUCAAUUGGUCAUACUUUUUCAAAGUUCCAUUUUUUCUAAUUCUUUUUUGUGAUCUUUCUUGCAGGCGUCAUAUCUGUUUUGAUUUAUUGAAAGUAUUAUAUUGACUUCUUUUAGACUGAUGAUCAAAUGUGUGGCUACUCUAUAAUACACCUUUUUUUUGGAUUUUGUUACUAAAAUGUAUGAUUCUUGUG